rnacentral:rRNA from 1 species
GACGAACGCUGGCGGCGUGCUUAACACAUGCAAGUCGAGCGGUAAGGCCCCUUUGGGGGUACACGAGCGGCGAACGGGUGAGUAACACGUGGGUGACCUGCCCUCAGGCUCUGGGAUAAGCCUGGGAAACUGGGUCUAAUACCGGAUAUGACUCCAUGACGCAUGUUGUGGGGUGGAAAGCCUUGUGCGGCUGGGGAUGGGCCCGCGGCCUAUCAGCUUGUUGGCGGGGUGAUGGCCUACCAAGGCGACGACGGGUAGCCGGCCUGAGAGGGCGACCGGCCACACUGGGACUGAGACACGGCCCAGACUCCUACGGGAGGCAGCAGUGGGGAAUCUUGCGCAAUGGGCGAAAGCCUGACGCAGCGACGCCGCGUGAGGGAUGACGGCCU